rnacentral:lncRNA from 1 species
AAUGGAUCAUGUGUUCCAGAUGAUAUAAGUAGAGGAUGAUGGAAUCUUCCUCAGCCUGGAUGGCUGCUUUAGUGAGAGGAGUACAGUUGCCCUUUAGCUGAAGCCCCAAGAGACCAUUAAGUCUUAUUCUGUGAAGUCAAAUUGACUUCUUUCCUUGCAUCUGGAAUGAUAAUAGUAUGUAACAUCCUUGGCACAACUGAACAAAAUAGUUGAGUUGUGAAAGGCUGCCCUACAAUGUUGCCAGACUUGCAAUGGACUUUGCCUGAAUGGGAAAUAAACUUUGUGAAGUUAGCCACUGAUAAUUUGGAAUUUUUUUUUUUUAGCCACUACAGAAUAAUCACUUCUGUCCUAAGACUGUUGUUUUAGGAAUAUCUUACCAUGAAUACCGUUUAAAAUUGUCUCACUGUGAGGAACCCCAAAUCAAAUUCCUUCCUAUGCAGGCUGAAAGAGAACAUCUGCAAUGGUCGUAAAUAUGGUGUUCUCAUAUUCUGUUGAUUUACCUGGAAUAUUUUCAUUUUCACCUGAAUAUCUUUCACACAUUGUGUCAUCAGAGAAGCUUCCUCAACCAAGGCUCUCCUCUGCCAAAGGAACCCGAAGACAUAUCAGCUUCUAAUGACAGAAACUACACAUCAGUUACACUAGGCAAGAACACAUGUAGCCUUCAGCUGGGGACUCCUACUGCAAUUAAAACAUAACAUAAUAGCUAUUGGGCAUUUCUGAGAAAGGAAUGAAAAGUUCAGAAAGUAGUAUGGGGAGGUGGGCCUUGCAUAAGACUGGCUCUUACAUGAGAGCUUAAUACCUCUAAUUUAAAAAUAGAUAAAAGGACAGUAAUGAAAAUGUAAGCUUUUCUUUCAGUGGCAUUGUAUUUCAAUAUCUCUAAUCUAACAUACACAGCCUCACUUAUUCUGGGGAUUCACUCUAUACUUUUUACUUUUGAGUUGUUUUCGACUCAAUACACUGAGAAAUUAAACAGUUAUGAACUUAUAGUUUUUUUUUUUUGGUCCUCAUAUCAGACAAAAUCAAUCAAUAAUUAACAAUACUUUUUGUGAGCCAACUAGAUAUUCAUUACUAUUCUAUGGUCUAAAAUAAACCAGACAAAUAAAAGAUGCCA